rnacentral:siRNA from 1 species
UCUAAGAACUUCAACGACGGC